rnacentral:rRNA from 1 species
UACGGAGGAUGCGAGCGUUAUCCGGAUUUAUUGGGUUUAAAGGGAGCGUAGGCGGAUUAAUAAGUCAGUGGUGAAAUACUGCAGCUUAACUGUAGAAUUGCCGUUGAUACUGUUAGUCUUGAGUAUGGUCAAGGUAGGCGGAAUGUGUAAUGUAGCGGUGAAAUGCUUAGAUAUUACACAGAACACCGAUUGCGAAGGCAGCUUACUGGGCCAUUACUGACGCUGAUGCACGAAAGCGUGGGGAUCGAACAGGAUUAGAUACCCUGGUAGUCCACGCCGUAAACGAUGAUCACUCGCUGUUGGCGAUAUACAGUCAGCGGCUAAGCAAAAGCAUUAAGUGAUCCACCUGGGGAGUACGGCCGCAAGGCUGAA